ACCUGCGGAGGGAUCAUUACCGAGUUUACAACUCCCAAACCCUUAUGUGAACCGUACCUAUCGUUGCUUCGGCGGGAACGCCCCGGCGCCCUGCGCCCGGAUCCAGGCGCCCGCCGGAGACCCCAAACUCUUGUGUUUUUUUUCAGUAUUCUCUGAGUGGCAAACGCAAAAAUAAAUCAAAACUUUUAACAACGGAUCUCUUGGCUCUGGCAUCGAUGAAGAACGCAGCGAAAUGCGAUAAGUAAUGUGAAUUGCAGAAUUCAGUGAAUCAUCGAAUCUUUGAACGCACAUUGCGCCCGUUAGCAUUCUAGCGGGCAUGCCUGUCCGAGCGUCAUUUCAACCCUCAGGGUCCCCGUUCCGGCGGGGAACCUGGUGUUGGGGAUCGGCCCGCCCCGCGCGGCGCCGUCCCCCAAAUUCAGUGGCGGUCUCGCUGCAGCCUCCCCUGCGUAGUAGUUACAACCUCGCAUCGGAGCUCAGCGCGGCCACGCCGUAAAACCCCCGACUUUCUGAACGUUGACCUCGGAUCAGGUAGGAAUACCCGCUGAACUUAAGCAUAUCAAUAA
rnacentral:rRNA from 1 species